UUAUUCUGAUAACACCUCGUAUCCACUCGUAGCUACUAGUACAAACUAACCACACAGCCGCUCCACACUAUCCCCGAUCCAACCACCAAACCCACGAACCCCAUUGCAUCUGGGAAUCCCUGCAUCUGCUCCCUCCCACCGGCGCACCACCGCGGUAACCACCAGCACCGCCCCUGUCCCCACACUACCGCGGCCACCUCCUUCCUCCCUUCUUCCUCUCCCACCAGCUCCCGGGCCCCGCCGUACCACCUCCUUCCUCCGGUGACGCCACUCGGGACCCGCCCCACCAUCUCCUUCCUCCGGCGCCACCACUCGGGUCCCGCCCCACCGCCUUCUUCCUUUGAUGGCCCCGCUGGCGCCAUGGAUCCCCCGGUGCAGCAGUCGUCCCCCUCUCCUCCAUCUCCCACCUCUAGGUCUACCCGGUGACGGAUCCGGCAGGACCCUCCUCCAUCCCUCCUAUCGUGCCUGCCCAGUGACGGAUCCGGCUGGAUCCACCUCCAUCUCCGUCCUCCCGUGCCUGCCCGGCGACGGAUCCGGCAGGACCCUCCUCCACCCCCUCCUACUGUGCCUGAACGACGACGGAUCCGGCGGGAUCCUCCUCCACAUCCGUCCCCCGUGCCUGCCCGCCGAUUGGAUCCUCCUACACCUCCCAUUCCCGUGCUAGCCGGUCACGGAUCCGGCAAGAUCCUCCACCCCUCUCCUCCCACACCUUCCUGGAGACGGAUACGGCAGGAUCCUGUUGCAGCUCCUUCCUCUACGGCGGCGUCGAGCUCUCUACCCUCCCCUACGAGCCGCCCUCCCCUCUCUCCUUUCCUUCUUCCUCCUCUCCCCGGAAACUACCUCCGGCGAGGUCUAGUGCAUGUCCAUCCUCGGCGGCUCGCGUGCAGUUCGGCCAACGAUGGCGUGCAGUACGACGUACGAUGGCAUGCAGUUCCGCGACCUUCCCUGGCGUGCAGUGCAGCUUGCCCUGGUGUGCAGUGCAGCUCGCCCUAGCGUGCAGUGUAGCCCAUCCAUGCAUGCGGGCACCCUCACCUGCAACUCUACGCUUACGGAUUCCCUUGUGGCAGCCGCUGGGAUUAUCGCCCAGGAAGUUGCUGGUGAUGUUCGCAUGACUGAUACCAGCAUCUGGCAAGGGUAGAUUCUUUGCCUUUGGACGUGUUUUUGCUGGGAGGGUUGCAAAUGGUAUGAAGGUCCGUAUCAUGGGUCCUAACUUUGUUCCUGGCCAGAAGAAGGAUUUGUAUGUGAAGAGUGUCCAGCGUACUGUUAUCUGGAUGGUAAAGAAGCAAGAAUCGGUUGAGGAUGUUCCCUGUGGUAACACUGUUGCUUUGGUUGGUUUGGAUCAGUUCAUCACCAAGAAAUGCAACCCUGACAAAUGAGAAUGAAGUUGAUGCCUGCCCAAUCAGGGCAAUGAAGUUCUCUGUGUCCCCUGUUGUGCGUGUUGCUGUUCAGUGCAAGGUGGCUUCUGAUCUUCCUAAGCUUGUUGAGGGUUUGAAGCGGCUAGCAAAGUCUGACCCUAUGGUUCUUUGUAGCAUUGAAGAUUCUGGUGAGCAUAUCAUUGCUGGAGCUGGAGAGCUUCACCUUGAAAUCUCUUUGAAGGAUCUGUAGGAGGAUUUCAUGGGUGGUGCUGAAAUUAUUGUUUCACCUCCUGUUGUCUCCUUCUGUAGAUAACUAAAAAGAAUGAUGGCCAAAAAAACUGCAGUACACUUUUUAUGUGUGUGGGAGUUCGCUUUGAACUCUCUGGAAGCUCACUCGGGCUCAAGAACAAACACACGUAUCACAUGCCUAGCAAAAAGCAGUAUAGUCAAACCUGCAUGCAGUUACUUGGUCGACAUUGCAGUGCGGUUUUUGAUUUGAAGCAGUGUGUGUGAUAUGUUGUUUUCAAUUUGGUCGACACCGCAAUGUGAUUCA